rnacentral:rRNA from 1 species
CCUACGGGGGGCAGCAGUCGAGAAUCAUUCACAAUGGGGGAAACCCUGAUGGUGCGACGCCGCGUGGGGGAAUGAAGGUCUUCGGAUGGUAAACCCCUGUCAUGUGGGAGCAAAUUAAAAAGAUAGUACCACAAGAGGAAGAGACGGCUAACUCUGUGCCAGCAGCCGCGGUAAUACAGAGGUCUCAAGCGUUGUUCGGAAUCACUGGGGGUAAAGCGUGCGUAGGCUGUUUCGUAAGUCGUGUGUGAAAGGCGCGGGCUCAACCCGCGGACGGCACAUGAUACUGCGAGACUAGAGUAAUGGAGGGGGAACCGGAAUUCUCGGUGUAGCAGUGAAAUGCGUAGAUAUCGAGAGGAACACUCGUGGCGAAGGCGGGUUCCUGGACAUUAACUGACGCUGAGGCACGAAGGCCAGGGGAGCGAAAGGGAUUAGAUACCCUGGUAGUC